CCUACGGGAGGCAGCAGUGAGGAAUAUUGGACAAUGGGCGCAAGCCUGAUCCAGCCAUGCCGCGUGCAGGAAGAAGCAUCUAUGGUGUGUAAACUGCUUUUGUACAGGAAGAAACACUCCCUCGUGAGGGAGCUUGACGGUACUGUAAGAAUAAGGACCGGCUAACUCCGUGCCAGCAGCCGCGGUAAUACGGAGGGUCCGAGCGUUAUCCGGAAUCAUUGGGUUUAAAGGGUCCGUAGGCGGUUUAAUAAGUCAGUGGUGAAAUCUGGUCGCUCAACGAUCAAACGGCCAUUGAUACUGUUAGACUUGAAUUAUAAGGAAGUAACUAGAAUAUGUAGUGUAGCGGUGAAAUGCUUAGAUAUUACAUGGAAUACCAAUUGCGAAGGCAGGUUACUACUUAUGGAUUGACGCUGAUGGACGAAAGCGUGGGGAGCGAACAGGAUUAGAUACCCUGGUAGUCCACGCCGUAAAACGAUGGAUACUAGCUGUUCGGUAGCGAUACUGUAGUGGUCGUAGACGAAGUAGAUAAGUAA
rnacentral:rRNA from 1 species